rnacentral:rRNA from 1 species
CCGCCAGUAAUCAUAUGCUUGUCUCAAAGAUUAAGCCAUGCAUGUCUAAGUACAUGCCGAAAUAAGGCGAAACCGCGAAUGGCUCAUUAAAUCAGUUAUGGUUCCUUAGAUCGUUUCUUCCUACUUGGAUAACUGUGGCAAUUCUAGAGCUAAUACAUGCAGUGAGCCUGGAGCCCUUUGGGUAACGGGUGCUUUUAUUAGACCAAGAUCGAUCGGGUUUCGGCCCGUAUUGUGUGGUGACUCUGGAUAACUUUGUGCUGAUCGCAUGGCCACGAGCCGGCGACGUUUCUUUCAAGUGUCUGCCUUAUCAACUUUCGAUGGUAGGUUACUUGCUUACCAUGGUUGUUACGGGUAACGGAGAAUCAGGGUUCGAUUCCGGAGAGGGAGCCUGAGAAACGGCUACCACAUCCAAGGAAGGCAGCAGGCGCGCAAAUUACCCACUCCCGGCACGGGGAGGUAGUGACGAAAAAUAACAAUACGGGACUCUUUUGAGGCCCCGUAAUUGAAAUGAGUACACUCUAAAUCCUUUAACGAGGAUCAAUUGGAGGGCAAGUCUGGUGCCAGCAGCCGCGGUAAUUCCAGCUCCAAUAGCGUAUACUAAAGCUGCUGCGGUUAAAAAG